UGUGUGGUUACAGGGGCUCUUGCAGGAGGCUUGGAAACGGAGGAAGACGGGCUAUUAGUUUCUGGAGGCACACGCAACGCUAAGGGCAGGUGCCUCCACACAGCCUUUUGGGGCUCUGCAGCGCUGAUGUGUGUUACACUGGGUGCUCGGGGCUCUCGUGCAGCCACCCCCUGAGAAGUGCAGAAGUGUCCAAGUCCAUCCUCUGGGGGAUCCUCAGGAGACCCAGUCGAAAUGCCCUGAAGAGACAGUUGGUAGAAAUAUGGCCCGUCGGGGUGGGCUGGUGAGGACUGAGGACGAAGGGAAUGCUGCCCUCGGACAGGACACACACCACCAUGAGCAGGAUGUUUGUUGGUGGCAAGGUGAGCAUUAAAGGUGGUGGGGUCUCCGAUGGAAACAAGGAACGUGCUACUGGAAACCAGAGGAACAACGAGCCCGGUUGUGCAGUGGCAGAAAACUGGGCUGGACUGCAUUCUGAUGUCAGGCAGAACGCCUUGCAGGUGAUGAACUUGGAUACUGGCUGAGGAGAUUUAUAAGCAAAGUGUUAAAGGCGUGGGCUGCUUUCCUCUUGCUGCUCAUAGUAGAAUAUGAGAGAAAAGAGAUAAAUUGAGGAAAGUCUCUUAAGCAAAAGUGAACCAGCGCUUAAUGAUUUGGGCCUAUCUGGAUUGCAAAGAACACUAAAAUUAGGAAAUUGCCUAUUGGAAAAGCAUGUUGGAAACAGAGGGCCAAGGGUGUGGCUGCACAGCCGCUUGCCGGAGGCUGGUGUGCGACUCUUAAGUCACUCAGCCGUCGCAGCAGAGCCCAGCGGGAAAGGUGGGCUCACUGCCCCCCCCAUUUAAGGGAGCCCCGUGUAUGUCUGCGAAUGCUGUGCCGGCAGAUGCACCGCUCGUCGGCACUGAGAGCAACAGAUUCAGGGCGGAGUGAAAGGGUGCUAUCAGACUUUCUAGAAAGUUCUAUAAGCAGGAAAGGGGCUGACAGGGCUGGUGAGCUGCAGGUGCGUGCAACCCAUCAGGAUAAAGGAAGAACACAGCUCUGAGGACGGGGCUUCCAGUCGCAGAGGAUUCUUCUCGGGUCUUGAAACUUAACGGAAUUUUCUCUGCUGCAUUUUGAGUUUACUUGGGAGUGGUGAUCCCUUUGUUUCUUCCAUGUUCUCUUUUUGGAAUGGAAAGGUCUGUCCUGCGCUCGACCUGCCCACGUAUUUGGGAAACAGGUAUCUUGUUUUCCAGCUGCACAGAUGAAGAGGAAUUCUGCCUUGGGAUGCACCACACCCAGAGUGUCACUAGCACCUGAGAGACAUGGUGACCUUUGGGACUCGUGAGCUGAUCAUGCUUAGGUGGCAUUUUAGGCCUGGAGCUCACGCCACAGUGCCGAGUGGGGUAUUCUGCACACAGGAUGGACACAGAUGUUGGAGGACCCAACAGUGGACUGUGGUAGGUUUAAUGGUGGCCCCCCAAAAGAUAUGUCCACCCAGAACCUAUGAAUGGGACUGUCUUUGGAAAGACAGCCUUUGCAGGUGUAAUUAAGAUCUCGAGAUGGUGUCAGCCUGCGUUAAGCUGGGCCCUAAAUCCUCAUAAGGGAAGAAGAGGUGAGGACACGCAGGUGAAACAUGAUGUCACAAUGGACGCAGAGAGUGCAGUGAGGCCCCUGCGAGUCAAGGGUCACGUAGGAUUGCCAGGAGCCCACCAGAAGCCCAGAAAGGGGCGGAUUCCCUCUCAGGACCUCCAGAAGGAACAGGCUCCGCUCCAGGGCUGUGGGAGAAUCCACUUCUGUGGUUUGCAGCCAACCACUUUGCGGUGCUUUCUUGCAGCGGCCCUGGGAACUGAUGCACGAGCCUGUGUUCAGACCUGGUACCAUCCCAGCAGGUGAAGGGCUCCCUCCAACGCACCGUGGGGCUCCGGCCCCUCCGCUGUGCGUUCCCCUCUCUGAUGAUUCUCUCUGUGGUCAUCAGAAGCCAGGCAGCCAACCAUCCCAACACUUGAUCCCCCAAACUCUGGCCUGCCACCGUGUUUGGGACUCUGUUUGGUCCCAGCAGAGUCAGUGCUGGUGGCCCACAGCCAGGGAUGGUCUGCUUCCCAUCUCCUGCCAGGACCCUCCACAUCGGUGAGCGGUGAGCGCCCCAGGAUCAGAAUCCCCUUUGAACUUGUUUCCUGUUUCCUGGGGCCAGUGCUGGUAUCUGCUUCCCAGCAGAGCAGCUCAGAGUUCCAUAAAAGGACUGUUUACGAAGAGGCGGGCAGCCCACAAGUGUUAAUCUCAUAUCGGCGACAUAAGAUGAAGCACACCUGAAAACUGGAGACUGUGCUGGACUCUGGUUACGUGACAAUUACUGGCUCAAUGUCAGGGGCAUCCCCCUAGGGAAGCACAGCUCAUUUGGAGAAGUGAGAGACCAGUUCACAAAAUCAGUGGGACUAACCUGGCUUCUGCUGGAGCAAAAAUGUGCCCCUCCCCCAUCUCAAUGGCCCAACACAUGUCCUACAAGCCUGGGGCUGCUCUGCAAGUGUCCCCAGUGAUGGGGGCUUCCUCUUAGCCAAGGGGAUAUGUAUGGCCAGUCCCACACCUGUGUUAUACAGCUCACCACAGUUCUCACUUCAUUGGUCAAGCAGGUCAAGGAGCCACGCUGAAUUUCAAAGGUGGGGUGGGGUACAGGUGUAGCCAACCAUGGAAAGAGACCGGAAUGGUGACGGAUAGACUGAGUACCACAACCUGGGGU